UGAACUACAGUAUAUGAUUUAAACAGGAUUUCUAGAUGCACAUUGCAUUGCCUCACUUGGCCCGGCAAUGUGUAAAUUGAAAAACAGCAGCUGCUGGAAGUCUGAAAGGAAAGCAGAAAAUAGUGGAAACACAAGGGAUUCUGUCGAUGCUGGAAAUCUUAAGCAAUGCACAUGAAGUGCUGGAGGAACUCAGCAAGUCACGCAGCAGCAGUGUAGAGGAAUAAACAGAUGAUAUUUCCGGCCAUGAACCUUCACUGGGACUGAAAAGUAAGGAACAGGAGCCAGAAUAAAAACAUGGAGGAGAGAGGAUGGUGUACAGGUUGGCAUGUGAUAGAUGAAACCAGGUUUAGCUUGCCCUGCCAAAGGAUCAACAAGAUGAGGUGUGAUAAAAUCAAGCAGCUUGUAAAUUAGACAUGUGACGCCGUCUACUAUGGUAUCUGAAGAACCUUCAGGACUGCAGUGCUAACUUCCCUAAAAAGAAACAAUACAAUCAAGAAAAAAAAGAAGAAAAACAGAAUUCUUCAUCUUGCCUUAUCACAUAUGCACAAACUGAAAAUCUGCGUAUGAUGUUUCAGCUUCAUGGAAUAUUUGUUCUCAAGAGUUACUGGCAUUGAUGAAGCACUCAUCCAGCACAAGAGGGAGAAGACUCCUUGAUGGCUGUUGUGCAAUGGGAUUUCACAAAACAAGACGGAUCUGUCACCAAAAUAUCUUUUCAGCAAAAGUCUACCAACUGUUGUAUGAAAAUAUUUGAAGAACAAAAAAGGAAACAAAAUAAUGAAGAUAUCACUUUUAAAUAGCUAUGUUCUAGAAGAUUCCAAACUUUCUUAACAUAAUUUUUAACUCUCCCAGCUCCUUAUGGCUACAGUUUCCUUGAUUUCCUUUCACUUCAAUAUGUUGACAACACUCAUGCACUUAAUUAGCAAAGCUGAAGAUGUACCAGAUGCAGGAGCACAUAAUCCAUACUGGCACUCCAGUACAGUCCUCAGGAAAUGCUUCAAGAUUCCAUAUUUAAAAUACAGUUUUAAACUGAGGGCUCAUUGGACUUUUGGGUGAACAUCAAACUUUACCACAUUACCAGAAGAAGAACAGGUGCAUUGGCUGAUGUUUAGUCCCUAAAUCAUCACCCUAAAAAAAUUAUCUUGUCAUAUUUGAAUGCUUGUCACAUGCCAAAUGGUUGCAACUUAAAUUAUAUUCCAAGACUGAAUACAUUAAGAAACAGUACUUUGACGGCUAUAAAAUAUUUUGCAAUACCCUGAAGUUGUAGAAGACAUGGCUAAAAAUACCCUGUGUGUGAUACAUUCUUGUGCACGGCAUGAUGAAUUGUAUCCACACCCUGAUUGCUAACACUCUUCAGUCCAGAAGGCUGAUCCAGGUCUUUGGAGUAUAUGAAGUGCAUGGGUGCUGCCUGGUAUGUCCAAUUGUGUCAAAGGCAUGCAACUCAUAUUUUAAGCUUGUUUAAACAAAAUUCUUUAGGAUAUUCAAGGCCUUUGACUGCUGGAUGCAUGCAUAAAAGCAGAUUUUAACUGGACAGACUUGUUUUAGUUAAAGCUAACCAGUUUCUUCUUCUACUACCCUACAGUCACAGACUCUCAUUAAUCUCUUUAAGUGCAUUUCUUGGUGCUCACAUCCCAUCACACCUCCAGCUUCACUCUCAAUAUUAUCUCUAGACCCUCACAUGAUUUGAUAUCUAUCAUAAUUCGCAAGCUUAGAACAUGGCCUUAUCUUUCGUCUUGCACCACUCCGAUUGUCCAUCCAUCACAUUAGACUUCUGUAUUCAUUCCAGGGUUGCUGGGGGGAAAAGGCUAUGCUAAGGGCUAAAUUAUAAUGCUUCAGAUUAUGGUAACACUUGCAAUGGUCACCAAGGAAUCUCACAAUCUAAUAAUGUGCUCUCAUUCUUCAUUACACCAUCACCAUUCUCUUACUUCCCAUCCAUGCUCAG